rnacentral:rRNA from 1 species
UACAGAGGUCUCAAGCGUUGUUCGGAUUCAUUGGGCGUAAAGGGUGCGUAGGUGGCGCUGUAAGUCAGGUGUGAAAUUUCGGAGCUUAACUCCGAAACUGCAUUUGAUACUGCGGUGCUCGAGGACUGGAGAGGAGACUGGAAUUCAUGGUGUAGCAGUGAAAUGCGUAGAGAUCAUGAGGAAGACCAGUGGCGAAGGCGGGUCUCUGGACAGUUCCUGACACUGAGGCACGAAGGCCAGGGGAGCAAACGGG